CCUACGGGAGGCAGCAGUGGGGAAUUUUGGACAAUGGGCGCAAGCCUGAUCCAGCCAUGCCGCGUGCAGGAUGAAGGCCUUCGGGUUGUAAACUGCUUUUGUACGGAACGAAAAAGCUCUCUCUAAUACAGGGGGUGAAUGACGGUACCGUAAGAAUAAGCACCGGCUAACUACGUGCCAGCAGCCGCGGUAAUACGUAGGGUGCAAGCGUUAAUCGGAAUUACUGGGCGUAAAGCGUGCGCAGGCGGUUAUGUAAGACAGAGGUGAAAUCCCCGGGCUCAACCUGGGAACUGCCUUUGUGACUGCAUAGCUGGAGUGCGGCAGAGGGGGAUGGAAUUCCGCGUGUAGCAGUGAAAUGCGUAGAUAUGCGGAGGAACACCGAUGGCGAAGGCAAUCCCCUGGGCCUGCACUGACGCUCAUGCACGAAAGCGUGGGGAGCAAACAGGAUUAGAUACCCUGGUAGUCCACGCCCUAAACGAUGUCAACUGGUUGUUGGGUCUUCACUGACUCAGUAACGAAGCUAACGCGUGAAGUUGACCGCCUGGGGAGUACGGCCGCAAGGUUAAAACUCAAAUGAAUUGACGG
rnacentral:rRNA from 1 species